rnacentral:lncRNA from 1 species
UGUGGUUAAGCACGCGGCUCUGUUCACAUCAACCAUCAUGAGCAAGCUUUUGGCUCGUCCUAAUGUGAAGCUCUUCAACGCUGUGGCUGCUGAGGAUUUGAUUGUGAAAGGAAACAGAGUUGGUGGUGUGGUGACUAACUGGGCUCUUGUGGCUCAGAACCACCACACACAAUCGUGUAUGGACCCUAAUGUUAUGGAAGCGAAGAUUGUGGUUAGCUCUUGUGGUCAUGAUGGUCCUUUUGGAGCUACUGGUGUUAAGAGGUUGAAGAGUAUUGGGAUGAUUGAUCAUGUUCCUGGGAUGAAAGCUUUGGACAUGAACACUGCUGAGGACGCUAUUGUGAGGUUGACCAGAGAGGUUGUUCCUGGUAUGAUUGUUACCGGUAUGGAAGUUGCUGAGAUCGAUGGUGCACCGA